rnacentral:rRNA from 1 species
CCAGAGCCUGAAUCAGUGUGUGUGUUAGUGGAAGCGUCUGGAAAGGCGCGCGAUACAGGGUGACAGCCCCGUACACAAAAAUGCACAUAUUGUGAGCUCGAUGAGUAGGGCGGGACACGUGGUAUCCUGUCUGAAUAUGGGGGGACCAUCCUCCAAGGCUAAAUACUCCUGACUGACCGAUAGUGAACCAGUACCGUGAGGGAAAGGCGAAAAGAACCCCGGCGAGGGGAGUGAAAAAGAACCUGAAACCGUGUACGUACAAGCAGUGGGAGCCUCUUUUAUGGGGUGACUGCGUACCUUUUGUAUAAUGGGUCAGCGACUUAUAUUCUGUAGCAAGGUUAACCGAAUAGGGGAGCCGAAGGGAAACCGAGUCUUAACUGGGCGUUAAGUUGCAGGGUAUAGACCCGAAACCCGGUGAUCUAGCCAUGGGCAGGUUGAAGGUUGGGUAACACUAACUGGAGGACCGAACCGACUAAUGUUGAAAAAUUAGCGGAUGACUUGUGGCUGGGGGUGAAAGGCCAAUCAAACCGGGAGAUAGCUGGUUCUCCCCGAAAGCU